GGUCAGCUCCCCUUAAGGGAGUAAUCAGGGUCAGUAUCUGGUUGCCGUCUUUCUCUUGGGCAUAAACAAAGGACUGGAGAGAAGGAGUGUUUUAAGUAGGAUGUUCAUAACCAAUGGAGAGAAAUAUUUUGCCGUCUGAUUACAGCUGUACAGAACCUUUAAAAUUGGUUUAAGCUUCUCUAGUGUCCGUGGGUUAUUUACUCUGGAAAAUAAGAACCUAACACUAGUAAUCUACUCAGAUUUGCAAAGCUUAGAAUGCGCUCAUCCCACGCCACACUGCAUCAUCAAUCAUCCAUCCUUACACACAGUCAGUCAUUAUUACAGCCCGGGUGUUCUGAGAGGACGGAGCUCAGGGAUGAGCUGGUUCGAAAGUGUUGGGCUGGGAUAGCUGGAGCUGUAACUGGCUGCGCGGACUAAAUUAAAUGACAUUUUGUUGGACACAUAUAUUUAUCAGAUGUUAUUGUGGGUGUAGCGAAAAGCAUGGCCAGCUCAGCCGGGGGGAGCACUGCUGAGUCCUACACACAUUGACAUUCCACUUUUCCACAUGGUUUGGUCCAUUAAUUCAUUGAGGUAGGACAGGGCCUGUGGACUCAUCCCCCAUCCUCCCUCCCUCCCCUCGCCACACCACCCCACCCCAGCCCUCCCAGCUGCAGUGACUCCCUCUGUGAGCCUCACCACCACUGGCUCGCUCUCUGUGUAUGAACGAGCAUAGCUAACAACUCUUCCCAUCCUUAUGCACCAAAAAAAAGAAUUUGGUUGGAUGAUUCCGUGGGUUUUACCACACUGUCAUAUUCAGUCGUGGGUGUAUCAUGUAUAUGAAAUACAGGGGUGUAGUUUGUGGUGUUCCUUCAUGACAGCAGGACAUUUGGUUUAGAUGAGCAUUUCCUAUUUAUUUUAUACUUGUUGAGGGAGUAGGGUUCUUCCGAAGAGGAGAGGCGAAACGGAUCAGAGGACCAAUAUGCGGCGUGGAGUGGAACAUGACGUAUUAUGAUUCCAAGGCAGAGCUAGACUAUGUGAGUAGAAAGUGAAAAGCUCAUUUCUACACAUCCUCUCUCAUUUGUUGGUAAAGCUUUUGAAAUCUGCUGAAGAAUGAAGUGGUAGUAAUAUUGUGUGUGUGCAUGUGUGAGUGUGUAUGUAUCUACGUGUGUACGUGUGUUAGCAGUACUCCCUGCAAGAUGGUGAUGGGGAAACAGUGAGCCCUCCACUACAGGUGGAGUUUGUGUAUGACCCUAACUUCAAAAAUAAGGUCAACUACUCCUUCACAGCCGUUCAGAUCCCCACAGACAUCUACAAAGGAGGAGUGGCAGUGGGAGCGGCCUCACUUUGAAGCUGAUCAAGUCGUGGCCAGGCCUGCUCUCUCACUGUCUUUAUCUCUUGCUCUCUAUCUCGCCUGCUCUCUCACUGUCUUUAUCUCUUGCUCUCUAUCUAGCCUGCUCUCUCAUUGUUGUUCCUCAAUCCCAUUUCUGCUCUGUCAUUCUCUCUGCUUUCUUGUUUCAGUUUAAUGAAAAGGCAGAGGCAGUGGUCCCUUGCUUCAAACACCUGGUCCAGGCCAACGUUCGCAACAAGAUCUUCAAAGAGGCUGUAAAGCUCAUGCAAGCUAAAGGCACCACAGACUACAAGUUUGGUUUCUACUUUGCCUUCAAUCAGCUACUAAACGUGAAUGACUUAAAGCUCAACACUCUGAAUGACCGCAUUCUGUACGAGUGAUGCCCAAUUAUUUAGGGCUUCUACUAUUAAAUAGACAAGGACAUUUUCCAAAGAAACUGUGUGUGCUUGCUAUUUUGUGCUUUGAGCAAACACAUGAAGGACAGUUCAUUACAGAUAACAGGACAACCAGCAGAACAUUUAAGAGUUGCUCUCAAUGACUCCGCGAUGCAUCGUGCCUAAGAACAGCCCUUAGCCGUGGUAUAUUGGCCAUAUACCACACCCCCCCCUUGCCUUAUUGGUUAAAUAUACUUUACAGUUACAGUAUCAACCUUGCCUUCCUCUAAAUCACCCUGUGCGUUAGUUAACAUAUGUGCACCUGGGGAUAAGAAAAGGCUGAGCAUAUAAUGCCGUUCGAUUGCAAACAGCAGUAACUACACAUUUGGUCAAAAUUUAGACUGAAAUCAGACUCUCUUUUUAUCCCCUCCAACUCUCUCUCUGCUCUCCCUCUAGGUUUCUAUUUUGAGAUCAGCUCCAUCUGUGCCAUAAGUAUUAACACUAGUGCCUCUUACACAGCUGAUCCUGGGUCAGCCAGUUCUCCUGGCACUGCUUCCUGGAAAUGUUGUUUACCGGACACUGACUAAUCCAUAUCCUGGCCAUCUGCCCAAGAUUGUUGAACAACUUUCUGGAAGCCCAUUUUCACUAGAGUAGCUACUAACCACACGUCUUGUCUGGGGAAGAGGUUCCAGUGGUUGAGUUCGUUUUGCGCAGUGGUGGAAAAAGUAGACUACCCAAUGAGUAUGAGUAAAAGUAAAGAUACCUUGAUAGAAAAUGACUCAAGUAAAAGUGAAAGUCACCCAGCAAAAUACUACUUGAGUGAAAGUCUAAAAGUAAUUGGUUUUAAAUAUACUCCAGUAUAAAAAGUAAAUGUAAUUUCUAAAUAUAAAAUGUAUCAAAAGUAAAAGUAAAAGUAGAAAUCAUUUCACAUUCUUUAUAUUAAGCAAACCAGACAGCAUCAUUUUCUUGUUUAUGAAAUUUAUGGAUAGCCAGGCUCACACUCCAACACUCAGACAUAAUUUACAAAAUUAGGCAUUUUUGUUUAGUGAGACCUCCAGAUCAGUGGCAGUAGGCAUGACCAGAGAUGUUCUCUUGAUAAAUGUGUGAAUUGGACCAUUUUCCUGUCCUGCUACUUUUGGUUUGCUGCUAUUGUUGUUUGCUUGGGACAGCGUUUCCUCUCCUUGUGCGCAGUCGUCCAUGUCACCUCGUGUUUUGUACAGAUGACUCAAAGCAGUCAAUGGAAGGCCAACUUUGUACAACAUUUGUCAGCUACAUGAUUUUUUUUUCUCUAAAUGUUUAUACAUGAUAUUUGGUGAUUAAAUGCUAUUGAUUUUUUCUCUUCA